rnacentral:rRNA from 1 species
GGAGGGGGCCAGCGUUGUUCGGAAUCAUUGGGCGUAAAGGGCGCGUAGGCGGUCGAGUAAGUCUGACGUGAAAUCCCUUGGCUCAACCAAGGAACUGCGUCUUAAACUGCUCGGCUUGAGUCCGGGAGAGGGUAGUGGAAUUCCCAGUGUAGCGGUGAAAUGCGUAGAUAUUGGGAGGAACACCGGUGGCGAAGGCGGCUACCUGGACCGGUACUGACGCUGAGGCGCGAAAGCUAGGGUAGCAAACAGGAUUAGAUACCCUGGUAGUCCUAGCUGUAAACGAUGGGCACUUGGUGUAGCGGGUAUCGACCCCUGCUGUGCCGAAGCUAACGCGUUAAGUGCCCCGCCUGGGGAGUACGGUCGCAAGGCUG